GAGGUGUUAGUAAAAUUAUUACAUAGUCUUGUCAAGACUAAGUUACAGGUGAAAUCCCAGUACACCUCA
rnacentral:tRNA from 1 species